ensembl:snRNA U6 spliceosomal RNA
GUGCUCGCUUCGGCAGCACGUGCACUAAAAUUGGGAACGAUACAGAGAAGAUUAGCAUGACCCCUGUGCCAGGAUGAGAAAUCAUCUCAAGCAGGGUGUACUGGGUGUAC